AGGUGUGUAGCCAAGUUGGUAAGGCAUCGGUUUCCAAGUCCGACACCGGCAGUUCGAGUCUGUCCACACCUG
rnacentral:tRNA from 1 species